rnacentral:rRNA from 1 species
AUUGAACGCUGGCGGCAUGCCUUACACAUGCAAGUCGAACGGCAGCGCGGGGCAACCUGGCGGCGAGUGGCGAACGGGUGAGUAAUAUAUCGGAACAUACCCUAGAGUGGGGAUAACGUAGUGAAAGUUACGCUAAUACCGCAUACGCACUAAGGUGGAAAGUGGGGGAUUCGCAAGAACCUCAUGCUCAUGGAGUGGCCGAUAUCUGAUUAGCUAGUUGGUGAGGUAAAGGCUCACCAAGGCGACGAUCAGUGGCUGGUUUGAGAGAACGACCAGCCACACUGGAACUGAGACACGGUCCAGACUCCUACGGAGGCAGCAGUGGGGAAUUUUGGACAAAUGGGGGGCAACCCUGAUCCAGCAAUGCCGCGUGAGUG